rnacentral:rRNA from 1 species
AUGAUAGGGUGGGGGGACGUGUACAAGGUGGUGUCCGCCAUGGCGCCGCUCUACUUCGCCCUCGGCCUCGGCUACGCCUCCGUGCGGUGGUGGAAGUUCUUCACCCGCGACCAGUGCGACGCCGUGAACCGCCUCGUCAUCUACUUCGCGCUCCCCUUCUUCGCCUUCGACUUCAACGCCCAUGCCGGCACGUUCGCCGCAGGGUACCGCGUCCUGGCCGCCGACGCCGUCGCCAAGCUCGUCGUCGUGCUCGCGCUCGCUGGGUGGGUCGCGUACUGCCGGUGGCGGCAUUGGAUCCGUGCCCCCAAGGCACCACCCGCGAGCUCGGCGUGGCCGGGCCCCUCCUGGUCGUGGUGCAUCACCGGCUACUCGCUGGGCACGCUCAACAACGGGCUCUUCGUGGGCGUGCCGCUGCUGGACGCCAUGUACGGCAAGUGGGCGCGCGACAUCGUCGUGCAGCUGUCGGUGCUGCAGGCCGUCGUGUGGCUCCCGCUGCUGGUGGUGGUGUUCGAGGCGAGGCAGGCCUGGCUGGAGGCGACGUCGGCGCCGGCGCGCGACGGCGGCGCGCGCGAAGAAGGCGAUCAGGCGGCGCUGGGGAGCGACGACGGGGACGGCCGGAAGACGGCGACGACGGGGUGCGCGUUCUGGGCGCGGCUGCUGCGGACGGUUGGGGUCAAGGUCGGCGGGAACCCGAACGUGUACGCGAGCCUCCUUGGGGUUCUGUGGUCUUCCGUGGCAAACAGGUGGCACCUGGAGAUGCCAGACAUUAUAGAUGGCUCGAUUUCGAUCAUGUCAAGGACCGGCCUUGGGAUCGGAAUGUUUAACACGGGCCUGUUCAUAGGUCUACAGGACAAGCUCGUCGUGUGCCGGCCUGGACUUACGGCGUUGGGCAUGGCGAUGAGGUUCGUCGCUGCUCCGGCAGCCACCGCGGUCGGAGCGCUACUUUUGGGACUGCGUGGUGACCUUUUGCGUGUUGCCAUCUUACAGGCUGCACUGCCUCAGUCUGUCGGAGCAUUUAUCUUCGCGCUAGAGUAUGACCUGCACGCUGAUGUACUCAGUACCGUGGUAAUAGUCGGCACGCUGGCUUCGCUGCCUGUGAUAAUCACAUAUUAUAUUGUUUUAGGGCUCUUGUGA